CGCACUGCUCAGUAACACGUGGACAACCUGCCCUGAGGACUGGAAUAAUCCCGGGAAACUGGGGGUAAUUCCAGAUAUGUCAGAACUCCUGGAAUGGGUUCUGGCAGAAAGGCUCCGGCGCCUCAGGAUGGGUCUGCGGCCUAUCAGGGUAGUAGUGGGUGUAACGUACCUACUAGCCUACGACGGGUACGGGUUGUGAGAGCAAGAGCCCGGAGAUGGAUUCUGAGACAUGAAUCCAGGCCCUACGGGGUGCAGCAGGCGCGAAAACUUUACAAUGCGGGCAACCGCGAUAAGGGGACCUCGAGUGCUGGGUUACAAACCUGGCUGUUGGGCUGCCUAAAAAGCAGUCUAUAGCAAGGGCCGGGCAAGACCGGUGCCAGCCGCCGCGGUAACACAGGCGGCUCGAGUGGUAACCGCUAUUAUUGGGUCUAAAGGGUCUGUAGCCGGCCGACUAAGUCUCUUGGGAAAUCUGGCAUCUCAAGUGUCAGGCUGCCAGGGGAUACUGGUCGGCUUGGGACCGGGAGAGGUGAGAGGUACCUCGGGGGUAGGGGUGAAAUCUUGUAAUCCUCGAGGGACCACCAGUGGCGAAGGCGUCUCACC
rnacentral:rRNA from 1 species